rnacentral:misc_RNA from 1 species
GAUGAAGAACGUAGCGAAAUGCGAUAAGUAAUGUGAAUUGCAGAAUUCAGUGAAUCAUCGAAUCUUUGAACGCACCUUGCGCCCUUUGGCUAUUCUGAAGGGCAUGCCUGUUUGAGUAUCAUGAACACCUCAACUCUCGCGGUCCGCCGUGAUGAGCUUGGACUUUGGGGGUAUUGUCGGCCCACCGCCGGCUCCUCUCAAAUGAAUCAGCUUGCCAGUGUCUGGUGACAUCACAGGUGUGAUAACUAUCUACGCUUGUGGUUUUCCGCCAGGUAACCUCCAGCGAUGGAGGUUCGCUGGAGCUCACAAAUGUCUCUCCUCAGCGAAGACAGCUCUUGAACGUUUGAUCUCAAAUCAGGUAGGACUACCCGCUGAACUUAAGCAUAUCAAUAAGCGGAGGA